CAUGCCGAGCUGGUAGCAGAACUCGUAAAUUCGCUGCUGCAAACUUAUAGUUGCCAACGACGACAACUACGCUCUAGCUGCUUAAUGCGGCUAGCAGUCGCUAGGGGAUGCCUGUAAACCCGAAACGACUGUCAGAUAGAACAGGAU
rnacentral:tmRNA from 1 species